GACGAACGCUGGCGGCGUGCCUAAUACAUGCAAGUUGAGCGCUGAAGGUUGGUACUUGUACCAACUGGAUGAGCAGCGAACGGGUGAGUAACGCGUGGGGAAUCUGCCUUUGAGCGGGGGACAACAUUUGGGAACGAAUGCUAAUACCGCAUAAAAACUUUAAACACAAGUUUUAAGUUUGAAAGAUGCAAUUGCAUCACUCAAAGAUGAUCCCGCGUUGUAUUAGCUAGUUGGUGAGGUAAAGGCUCACCAAGGCGAUGAUACAUAGCCGACCUGAGAGGGUGAUCGGCCACAUUGGGACUGAGACACGGCCCAAACUCCUACGGGAGGCAGCAGUAGGGAAUCUUCGGCAAUGGACGAAAGUCUGACCGAGCAACGCCGCGUGAGUGAAGAAGGUUGUCGGAUCGUAAAACUCUGUUGGUAGAGAAGAACGUUGGUGAGAGUGGAAAGCUCAUCAAGUGACGGUAACUACCCAGAAAGGGACGGCUAACUACGUG
rnacentral:rRNA from 1 species